AAUCUUAUAUUCUAAUUAGGAUGUUAAAUUGCAAGUUUAAUGGUAUAAAGUAUUUUAUUAAGAUUU
rnacentral:tRNA from 1 species